rnacentral:lncRNA from 1 species
CCCAGCUCUGCUGCAGGAGCGGCAAGUGGAAGCAAGAACGUGCUUGGGAUCUCGCUGUAAAAAACAGGGUCUAAAUCAGUUGCCGACCCUGUGCUGGCAUCGCAUGUGGUGUAGAAAUCCCCUCUCCGUGGCCUUGGACCUCAGCAGCUCCCUGCUGCAGCUCGUCACCCUGCCUCUGGCUAACGAACUCCCGCAAAACUCCACGUCCUCACCAAGAAACGAGCAAAUCCAGCCACAGCUCUUGUGCUGGGACCUUCCAGGUGGAGACGGUGCGUUGCUGAGCUCCCGCUGUCCUCUCCCAUCUCCCGCUGAAUGACUGAGCUUGUGAAUCAACAGACCAAAAACUCUCCAAAUGGCAUGGGAUGCCUCACUGCUUCUCACAUGGUUCUGCUGGAGCUGCAAGCUGGGCAGGCCAGGAGGAACCGGCAUGCCGGGCAAAUGCUGGCAGGUGUCACAUGCAGACCAGUGGAGCAUGUUGUCCUCUGCUUGCUGGCCGCCGCUGUGUCUCCCUUGUUCGUUUUGGUCCAACUAACCCCAGGCGGGAAGCCAGCUGCUUCAGCCAGGGGAAAUGCAGCUUCCAGUGCUUUAAUCCUGCUGGUGAGGCAGUUCUCCCCGGGGGCAGCCGAGUGUCCGUGUUGGCCAGCGGUUUCGUAG